rnacentral:rRNA from 1 species
GAUGAACGCUGGCGGCGUGCCUAAUACAUGCAAGUAGAACGCUGAAGGAAGGAGCUUGCUCUUUCCGGAUGAGUUGCGAACGGGUGAGUAACGCGUAGGUAACCUGCCUGGUAGCGGGGGAUAACUAUUGGAAACGAUAGCUAAUACCGCAUAACAGUAGAUGUUGCAUGAUAUCUACUUAAAAGGUGCAAUUGCACCACUACCAGAUGGACCUGCGUUGUAUUAGCUAGUUGGUGAGGUAACGGCUCACCAAGGCGACGAUACAUAGCCGACCUGAGAGGGUGCUCGGCCACACUGGGACUGAGACACGGCCCAGACUCCUACGGGAGGCAGCAGUAGGGAAUCUUCGGCAAUGGACGGAAGUCUGACCGAGCAACGCCGCGUGAGUGAAGAAGGUUUUCGGAUCGUAAAGCUCUGUUGUAAGAGAAGAACGAGUGUGAGAGUGGAAAGUUCACACUGUGACGGUAUCUUACCAGAAAGGGACGGCUAACUACGUG